AACGAACGCUGGCGGCAUGCCUAACACAUGCAAGUCGAACGAGACCUUCGGGUCUAGUGGCGCACGGGUGCGUAACGCGUGGGAACCUGCCCUUAGGUUCGGAAUAACUCCCCGAAAGGGGUGCUAAUACCGGAUAAUGUCUUCGGACCAAAGAUUUAUCGCCUUUGGAUGGGCCCGCGUUGGAUUAGCGAGUUGGUAGGGUAAAAGCCUACCAAGGCGACGAUCCAUAGCUGGUCUGAGAGGAUGAUCAGCCACACUGGGACUGAGACACGGCCCAGACUCCUACGGGAGGCAGCAGUGGGGAAUAUUGGGCAAUGGGCGAAAGCCUGAUCCAGCAAUGCCGCGGGAGUGAUGAAGGCCGUAGGGUUGUAAAGCUCUUUUACCCGGGAUGAUAAUGACAGUACCGGGAGAAUAAGCUCCGGCUAACUCCGUG
rnacentral:rRNA from 1 species